UUGGAGGGCAAGUCUGGUGCCAGCAGCCGCGGUAAUUCCAGCUCCAAUAGCGUAUAUUAAAGUUGCUGCAGUUAAAAAGCUCGUAGUUGAAUUUCGGGACCAAUAUGUCGGUCGUGCCUCGGUACGUACUGGCAUCGUUGGUUUCUCCCUUCUGAAGAACCAUGAUGUCAUUUAUUUGGUGUCGUGGGGAAUCAGGACUGUUACUUUGAAAAAAUUAGAGUGUUUAAAGCAGGCUCACGCUUGAAUACAUUAGCAUGGAAUAAUGAAAUAGGACGUUUGAUUCUAUUUUGUUGGUUUCUAGGAUCGACGUAAUGAUUAAUAGGGAUAGUUGGGGGCAUUAGUAUUCAAUUGUCAGAGGUGAAAUUCUUGGAUUUAUUGAAGACUAACUACUGCGAAAGCAUUUGCCAAGGAUGUUUUCAUUAAUCAAGAACGAAAGUUAGGGGAUCGAAGACGAUCAGAUACCGUCGUAGUCUUAACCAUAAACUAUGCCGACUAGGGAUCGGAUGAUGUUAAUUUUUUAAUGACUCAUUCGGCGCCUUACGGGAAAC
rnacentral:rRNA from 1 species